rnacentral:SRP_RNA from 1 species
CCGCGCUGGACGGGGGGUUGGCGGUCCCCUGUAACCCGAAACCCGCCUCAUGCGGGGUCGAGAGGCACUCUGAGUGCUGACCGGCGCGAACCAGGCCUGGACGUUGCGAGGACGAUGAAAGCCGGGUCCGACAACGGAUGCUGCCGUGAACCCCGCCAGGACCGGAAGGUAGCAACGGUAAACGGCCUCGCGCCCGGUUGCCGGGCAACCUGGCUGGAGCCCUCGCCGUCCCGACCCUCUCGCCGUCAGCGCGAAAGUGCCGGCGCGG